rnacentral:rRNA from 1 species
AACGCGAAGGACCUUACCAGGUCUUGACAUCCCUUGCUAAUCCUAGAAAUAGGACGUUCCCUUCGGGGACAAGGUGACAGGUGGUGCAUGGUUGUCGUCAGCUCGUGUCGUGAGAUGUUGGGUUAAGUCCCGCAACGAGCGCAACCCUUAUUAUUAGUUGCCAGCAUUUAGUUGGGCACUCUAGUGAGACUGCCGGUGACAAACCGGAGGAAGGUGGGGAUGACGUCAAAUCAUCAUGCCCCUUAUGACCUGGGCUACACACGUGCUACAAUGGCAUAUACAACGAGUCGCCAACCCGCGAGGGUGCGCUAAUCUCUUAAAGUAUGUCUCAGUUCGGAUUGUAGGCUGCAACUCGCCUACAUGAAGUCGGAAUCGCUAGUAAUCGCGGAUCAGCACGCCGCGGUGAAUACGUUCCCGGGUCUUGUACACACCGA